UUUAAGCCCAUCCAUAAGUUUACGUACGCAAUAUUGAUGUCCAUCUUAUUUUAAAAAAUAGAUUAGUAUUUCUGUUGUUAUUAUAUAAUAAAACAUAAAUAUUACCUUAUGUGUGAUUUAUGUUUUUAAUUUUUUUUUAAAUGGAUGAUCAAAGUUGGACAUAAAAACUUAUGGUUGCGCUUAAA
rnacentral:pre_miRNA from 1 species